rnacentral:rRNA from 1 species
AACGAACGCUGGUGGCAUGCCUUAAUACAUGCAAAGUCGAACGAGAAAGCCCUUCGGGGUGAGUAGAGUGGCGCACGGGUGAGUAACGCGUAGGUCACGUGCCUCUAAGUAGGGGGACAACCUCGGGAAAAUUUGCGCUAAUACCUCAUAAUGACUCCGGUCAAAGAUUUAUCGCCUAAGGAUUAGCCCGCGUCAGAUUAGAUAGUUGGUGAGGUAACGCUCACCAAGUCGACGAUCUGUAGGGGGUCUGAGAGGAUGACUCCCCACACUGGUACUGAGACACGGACCAGACUCC